UCCACUAAUGCAUUGAGCUGAAACUCCCUCUCCUACUUUAAGAACGUACUGCUCUGGUGUAAGGCCAAAUACUUUACCACCAAUUGUGAAUGAGACGUGAGGCAUGGAAGAUAGACUGCCACAAUCAACUGCUGAUUCUCCAUUUGGACUGGGCAAUCGAUCACAUAGUUCAUUCACGUAGUUCAAUAUCUGAUCUUCUGUCUGAUUUAGCUUUAUACGAUUUUGCAUCCAUA
rnacentral:misc_RNA from 1 species